UGGGGAAUAUUGCGCAAUGGGGGCAACCCUGACGCAGCAACGCCGCGUGCAGGAAGAAGGUCUUCGGAUUGUAAACUGUUGUCGCAAGGGAAGAAGACAGUGACGGUACCUUGUGAGAAAGUCACGGCUAACUACGUGCCAGCAGCCGCGGUAAUACGUAGGUGACAAGCGUUGUCCGGAUUUACUGGGUGUAAAGGGCGCGUAGGCGGACUGUCAAGUCAGUCGUGAAAUACCGGGGCUUAACCCCGGGGCUGCGAUUGAAACUGACAGCCUUGAGUAUCGGAGAGGAAAGCGGAAUUCCUAGUGUAGCGGUGAAAUGCGUAGAUAUUAGGAGGAACACCAGUGGCGAAGGCGGCUUUCUGGACGACAACUGACGCUGAGGCGCGAAAGUGUGGGGAGCAAACAGGAUUAGAUACCCUGGUAGUCCACACCGUAAACGAUGGAUACUAGGUGUAGGAGGUAUCGACCCCUUCUGUGCCGCAGUUAACACAAUAAGUAUCCCACCUGGGGAGUACGACCGCAAGGUUGAAACUCAAAGGAAUUGACGGGGGCCCGCACAAGCAGUGGAGUAUGUGGUUUAAUUCGAAGCAACGCGAAGAACCUUACCUGGGCUUGACAUCCCUGGAAUCGAGUAGAGAUACUUGAGUGCCUUCGGGAAUCAGGUGACAGGUGGUGCAUGGUUGUCGUCAGCUCGUGUCGUGAGAUGUUGGGUUAAGUCCCGCAACGAGCGCAACCCCUAUUGUCAGUUGCCAUCAUUAAGUUGGGCACUCUGGCGAGACUGCCGGUGACAAAUCGGAGGAAGGUGGGGACGACGUCAAAUCAUCAUGCCCCUUAUGCCCAGGGCUACACACGUACUACAAUGGCCGAUAACAAAGUGCAGCGAAACCGUGAGGUGGAGCGAAUCACAAAACUCGGUCUCAGUUCAGAUUGCAGGCUGCAACUCGCCUGCAUGAAGUUGGAAUUGCUAGUAAUCGCGGAUCAGAAUGCCGCGGUGAAUACGUUCCC
rnacentral:rRNA from 2 species